AUGGCCGAGGAAGUAACUACAUGGAGGAGAAAUUACUGCUCAUGGGGUGAUGAGAUGGAUGAUGCAUUGCUUGAAAUCCUUGUUGAGCAUCACAACAUGGGUGACCAUGCCCAAAAUGGAUGGAAGUCACAUGUGUACACACAUGCCAUAAGGCAUGUGAAGGGUAAGUGCAAUAAGGAUAUCACAAAGGAGAACAUUAGUGGAAGGAUGAGGACUUUGGAUCAUCACUAUGAGGUCGUAAGCAAAAUCCUUUCUCAAAGUGGUUUUGGUUGGUAUUGGACCAAUAAUAGGCUAUCAAUGGAUAGUGAUGAUGUUUGGGCUAAAUAUGUGGAGACAUGCAAGGAGAUAAAGUCUUACAAGAACAAAGUAAUCAAGAACUGGGAGUCCAUUUGCAUCAUAUAUUAAAAAGAUCAUGCUAAUGGUGAGGGUGCGAAGACAAGUGCUGAGAUUGCUGCAGAGCCAUUAGAAGAACUGACCGAAGUCUCUCCAGAAGUAGUGCCGAAGAGGCAGCAAACAGGUGAUGCUAUUCUCCCCGGAAACAUCAUCGUUGUUGAUGAUCAAAUGAGCCAUCGAACCUUCUGCCGACGGCACAGUGGAACUCUCAAUGAAAGCACCAAUGUCGGUGUCAAAACUGCCGAUCUCGGGUAG
rnacentral:rRNA from 1 species